rnacentral:rRNA from 1 species
AGUGAACGCUGGCGGUAGGCCUAACACAUGCAAGUCGAACGGCAGCACAGUAAGAUCUUGCUCCUGCCGUUAGCGAGUGGCGGACGGGUGAGGAAUACAUCAGCAACUUCUUUUUCGUGGAGAACAUCGGAGAAAAACAUACGCUAGUACAGCAUACUACGUACGGGUUAAUUCAGAGGAACAUCGGACCUUGCGCGAAUGAUGUAGGCGAUGUCGGAUUACCUAGUCGGGGUGGUAACGGCCCAACAAGGCGAGGAUCCGUAGCUGGUCUGAGAGGAUGACCGGCCACACUGGAACUGAGACACGGUCCAGACUCCUACGGGGGGGAGCAGUAGGGAAUAUUGGGCAAUGGGCGCAAGCCUGAUACAGCAACACCGCGUGAGUGAAGAAGGCCUUCUGAUGGUAAAGCUCUGUUGUUAGGAAAGAAAAGGAGCAGUGUAAUCCCAUGAUGUCAUGACGGUACCUAAAAAAUAAGCAUCGGCUAACUACGUG